CCCUUAGAUGUUCUGGGCCGCACGCGUGCUACACUGAGUGGAUCAGCGGGUCAGGUUGCGCGAAAGCGUUUCCUAAUCUUUAAAUCCGCUCGCGAUGGGGAUUGACGGUUGCAAUUUUCUGUCAUGAACGAGGAAUACCUUGUAAGCGCGGGUCAUCAUCCCGCGCUGAAUACGUCCCUGCCCUUUGUACACACCGCCCGUCGCUCCUACCGAUUGAGUGGUCCGGUGAGGCUUUGGGAUCUGAGCGGAAAGAGCGUUUCGCUGUUUCUGCUCGGAAAACUCAGUCGAACCUUAUCAUUUAGAGGAAGGAGAAGUCGUAACA
rnacentral:rRNA from 1 species